AGCCUUUGUACCGCUCCGCGCCGCCGUUCGGCAGACGCGCCGCCAUAUUGGUUCGACGUUGCUGCCCGCUGCUCGUGUCUCCCGUGCGGUCGACGAGUUGUGUAACAGUAUUCUUAUCGUUCACCCGUGGGUGGGUGAACAAGAUAAGAGAAUGACGGGUUGCUGCGUUCCGCUGUGCACCGGCUCAUGGAAAAAAGGACUGCGGACUUUUCGGUUUCCCCGAGACCCUGAGAGAAGAAAGAAGUGGGAGGCUCAAGUGAAGCGGGAGAAGUGGAAAGCGACUGACACAUCUAAGAUAUGCGAGCGUCACUUUGAGCCUGACCAGUACGAAAAUGCCAGACAAGACGGGCGGCGGCUGCUGAAGUCUACUGCAGUUCCGACUCUCUUUGAUUUUAGAC